rnacentral:rRNA from 1 species
AUUGAACGCUGGCGGCAGGCCUAACACAUGCAAGUCGAACGGUAACAGGAAGAAGCUUGCUUCUUUGCUGACGAGUGGCGGACGGGUGAGUAAUGUCUGGGAAACUGCCUGAUGGAGGGGGAUAACUACUGGAAACGGUAGCUAAUACCGCAUAACGUCGCAAGACCAAAGAGGGGGACCUUCGGGCCUCUUGCCAUCGGAUGUGCCCAGAUGGGAUUAGCUCGUAGGUGGGGUAACGGCUCACCUAGGCGACGAUCCCUAGCUGGUCUGAGAGGAUGACCGGCCACACUGGAACUGAGACACGGUCCAGACUCCUACGGGAGGCAGCAGUGGGGAAUAUUGCGCAAUGGGCGCAAGCCUGAUGCAGCCAUGCCGCGUGUAUGAAGAAGGCCUUCGGGUUGUUAAGUACUUUCAGCGGGGAGGAAGGGAGUAAAGUUAAUACCUUUGCUCAUUGACGUUACCCGCAGAAGAAGCACCGGCUAACUCCGUG